rnacentral:rRNA from 1 species
UUGACCUGAACUCAGUCGAGAGCACCCGCUGAACUUAAGCAUAUCAGUAAGCG